CUUAAAAGGAAAGAGAAACCAGAGUGAAUUAUGACUCUUGCCCAGUUUUUGGUUGAAUACUGCCUGCAUGCUGCUACAAUGCCCCUUUUACAGAACAUUGUCUAACAUGUAAAUAUUCUGGAAUAGUACCCCCAAAUUCAACUUGACAUGAAGACAAGAACAAAACCAUUCAGUACUGAUUAAAUGCUUGGGCAUCUGGAUAUUAAGACUGUCUCCAGCCCUUUGAGGUUGAGAGAGGAAGCAAGCACGGAGGAAUGGAUUUGACAACCCACAUGUCCGUGACUCAAAGCAAGCAAGGCCUUGCACAACCAACUCGCCACCCACACAAUCUGCACAGUCUCAGUGAGAAAGCAGGAGCAGGGAGCUCUCCGCUGAGAGUGAAGAAAUGUCCUCAACUCGACUUCUCUGCAGUGUGCAUGUGUGUGAAACACAGACACACACGGGAGGAAUUUGGCUCUGUCAUUUUAGUGUACCAAAGAAAAAAAAACAGGGAGAAAUCACUUGUUUGAAGCCCUAAAUGACAUAAGGAAGAUUUUCCCAGAUCUAAAUAAUGAUCCCUAAGGUCAGGUGCUGUGUAUGGUAUGGAUUUGGAAACUUCAUAAUGUCUCUGACCACCACUCCAGGACACUGCAGACAGGUGUGCAUUUACUCAGCAUCCAGUAAACACCUGCAAGGUGCAGAGUACUACACUAGGCACAGGGAACAGAGCUACUGACUGACUGCCAGAGUUUCGAAGAAUACAGAUAAGUCAACUAUUAAAGCUAGGAAACAGACCGGAUGCGGUGGCUCACGCCUGUAAUCCCAGCACUUUGGAAGACCGAGGCGGGUGGAUCAACUGAGGUCAAGAGUUCAAGACCAGCCUGCCAACAUGGUGAAACUCCGUCCCUAUUAAUAAUACAAAAAAAUUAGCUGGGCAUGGUGGCACAUGCCUGUAAUCCCAGCUAUUCGGGAGGCUGAGGCAGGAGAAUUGCUUGAACCCAGGAGGCUGCAGUGAGCUGAGAUCGCGCCAUUGCACUCCAGCCUGGGCAACAAGAGCGAAACUCUGCCUCCAAUAAAUAAAUAAAUAAAAUAAAAUAAAAUAAAAUAAAGCCAUAAAACAGUAA
rnacentral:lncRNA from 1 species